GUGUGCUUAGGCCCAGAAUAAAAUGUCUUUGGAAACUUACUCAGUUAUGAUUUUAGACAUGGCAAAACAAGGCCUGUCAUCCACAGAAAUCUCAGCGCAGAUAUCACAAGUAAAUGGGGGAGCGAGAGGAUGUUCCGCAAGAAACGUGAGGAGAUUUUGCAGUGAAAAUGGAUUAAGUUUGAUGGGGCUCCCUGACGCACAUUUGGAGUUGGAGGUGGCAAAAGCUAUAACCGAGACUGGACCUACAUAUGGAAGAAAGAUGAUGAAGGGUUAUCUCGCUAUGAAAGGAGUGUAUGCUGCAGAGACACGAAUUGGAUCAGUGCUCAGAACCAUGCAUCAGCCAUACCAUGAAGCAAGACGUCAGGGUGCCCGCAAUCUCAACCCCAUACCAUAUCAAGCUGAUUACAUGGGUCAAAAGGUUCAUAUGGACCAAAACUAAAAACUGGCUAUGUUUGGGGUUACCCAUGUUUUAGCCAUCGAUGGCUACAGCAAAAAGAUUGUUGCUCAUUCUACAAUGCCUAUAAAAAACAACCUUGCCAUCUAUGAAGAUGUUUUCAGGUAAUAGCAAUUAUUAUUAUUGUGGACACUAAAGAAAGUGCAUACACAUGGCUAUCAUUCAUGAUAGAAUAUAAAACAUUGAACAUCUACA